rnacentral:rRNA from 1 species
CAGUCGCCGCGGGAAUACAGAGGGUGCGAGCGUUAAUCGGAUUUACUGGGCGUAAAGCGUGCGUAGGCGGCUUUUUAAGUCGGAUGUGAAAUCCCUGAGCUUAACUUAGGAAUUGCAUUCGAUACUGGGAAGCUAGAGUAUGGGAGAGGAUGGUAGAAUUCCAGGUGUAGCGGUGAAAUGCGUAGAGAUCGGAAGGAACAUCUGUGGCGAAGGCGACUAUCUGGGCCAACACUGACACUGAGGCACGAAAGCGUGGGGAGCAAACAGGAUUAGAUACCCCCGUAGUCCCUGUCUCUUAUAC